UCGAGAAUCUUCCACAAUGGACGAAAGCCUGAUGGAGCGACGUCGCGUGAUGGACGAAGUGCUUCGGCACGUAAACAUCUUUUAUGUGGGAUGAAAUUAUUGACAGUACCACAUGAAUAAGGGGCUCCUAACUCUGUGCCAGCAGGAGCGGUAAUACAGAGGCCCCAAGCGUUAUCCGGAAUCACUGGGCGUAAAGGGUGUCGAGGCGGUUGUAUUAGUCGUUCGUAAAAUCUACGAGCUUAACUUGUAGGCGGCGAACGAAACGGUACGACUUGAGGUUUGGAGAGGUGCGUGGAACUCACGGUGUAGGGGUGAAAUCCGUUGAUAUCGUGGGGAACACCAAAGGCGAAGGCAGCGCACUGGCCAAAAUCUGACGCUCACACACGAAAGCUAGGGUAGCGAAGAGGAUUAGAUACCCCCGUAGUCCCUGAGCGGGCUGGCAAGGCGCAU
rnacentral:rRNA from 1 species